UUUUAACCAGCAAAUUGAUAUAUGUUUGUUGUCUUAGAAUUUCGUCUCUUUCUGAUUUGAAAUUGUGAUUGUCCCAAUGUUUUGAUGGCGUAGUUUGCUCUUCUGCUUUUUUAGUAAUCAUUUUCUCGGAAAAUGUGAUCAGCAGGUUCAGUUUCUAUAAGCUAUAGAUAUGGAUGUAGUAAAUGUUGUUUGUGAGGAUCUCGGGAAAAUUUGUUCAUGUUCUCAUUGAUAUGUUGUUCAUAAUGUCAGCCAUAUUAAUAUGUGAAAUUAUGUGCGUUUGCAGGUGAUUGUUUCGAGCAACAGAUUAAUUUCACUGACUGCAAGUACUAAAUAUGAGCAGUGAUCCACUCAUUAUUUUCUUUCUUUCAUUCUUUCUAGUGUUAAUCUGUAAUGUCAAAAAUCCACAAUGCAUCCCAAGCAAACAAAACCAAAGACUUUCUAUGGCUUUCUUUCUUUGCCUCACAUAAAUAGCGUUGGUGAGAGAGGUAGAGAGAAGUAGAAAGCGCAGGUCUACUUCUUUCCUCCGCAGAGUUUAGGGUUUAGGGAGGGAGGAUCACCUUGCUAGAUAUGACAGUGUCAAGGAAGGUGGAUACACUCUUGACUUUCCUACAACCUUGAAUAGGAGUAAAGAUUACUGUCCAAAGCCUGAGGAAAUAGCCACUUUCAGUUUUGAUGGUGCUGUACUUGGACAAAUUCCUGCAAGUAUGUGAUAUCGUCGUGUUGGAUCUUCGGGCGAGGCUGCCAAGAAGAAAAAGAAGGGGAAAGAUGCAAAAGGUUAUUCCUGCUACUUUUGGUUUAAAGUAAUUAGAAGUCUUCAGUUUAUGCAAUAUUAGGUUCUUCAUACAAUUGUCUGUGAUAGACUGGCAUUACUCUUAUUUUGGUGGAACCUAUGAGAGACAAAGCAUCCUAAACUUGAGUGUCAGUUAACAACAGUCUUCAUUUAUUUGUUGAACUCAGAUUAUCUAAGAUCAAGUAAA